rnacentral:rRNA from 1 species
GAGGAGCUCGCGCAUCAUCAGCUUGUUGGCGGGGUAACGGCCCACCAAGGCUCACGAUUAGCUGGUCUGAGAGGAUGGCCAGCCGCACUGGGACUGAGAUACUGCCCAGACUCCUACGGGAGGCUGCAGUCGAGGAUCAUUCACAAUGGGGGCAACCCUGAUGGUGCGACGCCGCGUGGGGGAGGAAGGUCUUCGGAUUGUAAACCCCUGUCAUGUGGGAGCAAGGCGCAAGCUUGAUAGUACCACAAGAGGAAGAGACGGCAAACUCUGUGCCAGCAGCCGCGGUAAUACAGAGGUCUCAAGCGUUGUUCGGAAUCACUGGGCGUAAAGGGUACGUAGGCUGCCGCAUAAGUCGUGCGUGAAAGGCAGGGGCUCAACCCCUGGAGUGCGCAUGAUACUGUGUGGCUGGAGUAAUGGAGGGGGAACCGGAAUUCUUGGUGUAGCAGUGAAAUGCGUAGAUAUCAAGAAGAAGACUCGUGGCGAAGGCGGGUUCCUGGACAUUUACUGACGCUGAGGUACGAAGGCCGGGGUAGCGAAAGGGAUUAGAUACCCCUGUAGUCCCGGCAGUAAACGGUGCACGCUUGGUGUGCGGGGAAUCGGACCCCCCUGCGUGCCGGAGCCCAACGCGUUAAAGCGUGCCGGCCUGGGGAGUACGGUCGCAAGAUUAAAACUCAAAGAAAUUGACGGGGACCCGCACAAGCGGGUGGAGUAUGUGGCUUAAUUCGAUGCAACGCGAAGAACCUUACCAAGGCUUGACAUCCCGUGACCGCCUGUGAAAGCAGGUUUUUUCUUCGGAAACACGGAGACAGGUGCUGCAUGGCCGUCGUCAGCUCGUGUCGUGAGAUGUUUGGUUAAGUCCAGCAACGAGCGCAACCCCUGCUGCCAGUUACCAUCAUUAGGUUGGGGACUCUGGCGGGACUGCCCAGAUCAACUGGGAGGAAGGUGGGGACGACGUCAGGUCAGUAUGGCCCUUACGCCUUGGGCUGCACACGUACUACAAUGCCCAGUACAGAGGGAGGCGAGCGUGCGAGCGCGAGCGGAUCCCGAAAAGUGGGCCCAGUUCGGAUUGGAGGCUGCAACCCGCCUCCAUGAAGCCGGAAUCGCUAGUAAUGGCGCAUCAGCUACGGCGCCGUGAAUACGUUCCCGGGUCUUGCACACACCGCCCGUCA